rnacentral:rRNA from 4 species
UGAGGAAUAUUGGUCAAUGGGCGAGAGCCUGAACCAGCCAAGUAGCGUGCAGGAUGACGGCCCUAUGGGUUGUAAACUGCUUUUAUGUGGGGAUAAAGUGCGUGACGUGUCAUGCAUUGCAGGUACCACAUGAAUAAGGACCGGCUAAUUCCGUGCCAGCAGCCGCGGUAAUACGGAAGGUCCGGGCGUUAUCCGGAUUUAUUGGGUUUAAAGGGAGCGUAGGCUGUCUAUUAAGCGUGUUGUGAAAUUUACCGGCUCAACCGGUGGCUUGCAGCGCGAACUGGUCGACUUGAGUAUGCAGGAAGUAGGCGGAAUUCAUGGUGUAGCGGUGAAAUGCUUAGAUAUCAUGACGAACUCCGAUUGCGCAGGCAGCUUACUGUAGCAUAACUGACGCUGAUGCUCGAAAGUGCGGGUAUCAAACAGG